AAUCAACGCUGGCGGCGUGCCUCAGACAUGCAAGUCGAACGAUUAAAGCUCUCUUCGGAGAGUGCAUAGAGUGGCGCACGGGUGAGUAACACGUAAGUAAUCUACCUUCGAGUGGGGAAUAACGUCCGGAAACGGACGCUAAUACCGCAUAAUGCAGCGGCAUCGUAAGAUGACAGUUGUUAAAGAUUUAUCGCUUGAAGAGGAGCUUGCGGCAGAUUAGCUAGUUGGUAAGGUAAUGGCUUACCAAGGCUACGAUCUGUAACCGGUCUUAGAGGACGGUCGGUCACACUGACACUGAAUAACGGGUCAGACUCCUACGGGAGGCAGCAGUCGGGAAUUUUGGGCAAUGGGCGAAAGCCUGACCCAGCAACGCCGCGUGAAGGAUGAAGUAUUUCGGUAUGUAAACUUCGAAAGAAUGGGAAGAAUAAAUGACGGUACCAUUUAUAAGCUCCGGCUAACUACGUGCCAGCAGCCGCGGUAAU
rnacentral:rRNA from 1 species